GAAGAUAAUGGAUUCUAACAUAAUUAUAGAGAUAAUCUCGGUAUCGAGAAUGUACUAAUGUGUGUUGUCAGUUUCUUUUUUUAGAUGGCUUCACUUAGAUUAAGUUUUUAAGCUACUUAAUCCUAUAUUUUAACAUUGAUAAGUGUCGAUUGAUACCAAACUUCUUUUUUCUUUCCAAUUCUUGCAGUAUUUGAGACUUGGUAAAAAGACAUGUUGGUGUUCGUGGUGGUGAUUGGCAGGCAGUAAGACUUGGUAAUAUAAAGGGGUUUUUUUUAACGGAAGACUUUUUAGCCGACAGUGAUAUUUUUGUUCCCCCAUAAUGGCCAGUUUCGAAGAACCAUUCAAACAUAAACUUCAGGAUAAUGGGGGUGCAAUGCUCAAAGACUAUAUUUCUAAAUAUUAUGGGAGCUCAUAUGUGUUAAUUAUUCCACCUCCAACAACUGGGAGUCUUGACCAUUGUGCCUUUGUGGUGACUUUCGUUUUGAAAGUUGAUUGGUCAUAAGAGUGUUGGCACAUUUCCAAAGGAAUAUCGAGGACUGGCAAACGAACAAUGGGAUCGUCAUGAUAAGAGCUUUGUUAAUAGAUUGGGAAUUUCAUGAGGAAUUUUUAUUUGUUAGGUUGAGUUUUACAAAUAUAUAUUCAGUUUUAUUACGCGUGUUGGGUGAUUUAUGGAUUUGGGAUAUUUUUAACUUGCUUGAAUAUUUUUUGCACCCCAAUUUAACAUGCACAUAUACAGCAUAUAUUUUACUUUGUUCCUACCCAUUUUUUGUCCAUCAUUUGCUCAUUGUUCGACCUGUAGCUUUAGUUGUCUUCAAAAUGUGUUGCGCCGUGCCUUCAGGCACGGGCAUUC